AUCAGAGGCCCUGUAAAGAGCCUUCGGAUCGCCGCUCAAAUCCUACGAGCCGAUUCGUGUCCGCACCGCCCACAAGGCAGUUUGACGAGGUUGCGACUGGAACGAAGUUGUCCUGAGGGACGGAAGCGUAUAACGGUCCAUCGGUAAACUGCUGAGUGACUGCAACGAGGCAUCCACGAGCCGGAUUGCAAAUCCCAGCCAUGCCCUGAACCCGCUCUCCCC
rnacentral:ncRNA from 1 species